rnacentral:rRNA from 1 species
UACGGGGGGAGCAAGCGUUGUUCGGAUUUACUGGGCGUAAAGGGCGCGUAGGCGGUCAGCACAAGUCAGUUGUGAAAUCUCCGAGCUUAACUCGGAAAGGUCAACUGAUACUGUGCGACUAGAGUGCGGAAGGGGCAACUGGAAUUCUUGGUGUAGCGGUGAAAUGCGUAGAUAUCAAGAGGAACACCUGCGGCGAAGGCGGGUUGCUGGGCCGACACUGACGUGAGGCGCGAAAGCUAGGGGAGCGAACGGG